rnacentral:rRNA from 1 species
CCUACGGGUGGCUGCAGUGGGGAAUAUUGGACAAUGGGGGCAACCCUGAUCCAGCCAUGCCGCGUGUGUGAAGAAGGCCCUCGGGUUGUAAAGCACUUUCAGUGAGGAAGAACGCCUGGUGGUUAAUACCCAUCAGGAAAGACAUCACUCACAGAAGAAGCACCGGCUAACUCCGUGCCAGCAGCCGCGGUAAUACGGAGGGUGCGAGCGUUAAUCGGAAUUACUGGGCGUAAAGCGCGCGUAGGUGGCUUGAUAAGCCGGUUGUGAAAGCCCCGGGCUCAACCUGGGAACGGCAUCCGGAACUGUCAAGCUAGAGUGCAGGAGAGGAAGGUAGAAUUCCCGGUGUAGCGGUGAAAUGCGUAGAGAUCGGGAGGAAUACCAGUGGCGAAGGCGGCCUUCUGGACUGACACUGACACUGAGGUGCGAAAGCGUGGGUAGCAAACAGGAUUAGAUACCCUGGUAGUC